UAUAAAGCCUAAAAUAUUAUAGCUCAAGGCUUGAACGGUACCUGUGAAAAAGGCAAUAAUAGGGCGAGAAAGUGGGAAAAGGUCACUGUUUGAGCUCCUUUUCCUAUCUUUGGUAGCUAUGAAAACUAUCGGGUGACCCGAUAUAAAAUCACCGGGUUUCAUAGGAGUGGAGAUACUUAUCGGUGUUUAAGGGAAAAUCUUGUCGGCAGAAUUUUGUGGUAUAAAGUUUAUCACUCUUUCUCAUAAAUCUCUAAUCAACGAUUUCUCCCAAAUUUGCCCUCAAACCUCUCCAACUGCAACACCCUACUUCUCCAACUGCAACCCCCCACAUCUUCAAGCAUCUCCGCGACACGAAGAAGACGCAUUGCCGGCAGCGAUUUCAACUUUUCGAGACAGAUUUUCGCAAGAAUUGCUCAGAUUGUAAAGUUGUAGAAUUGUGUCUGUGGCCUCAUCUCUACCUAAAUCCGAUUGCGAAGAAGUUGAUAUGGAUUUGGAGUGAGUGAGUUGUGGGAUUCCAGCCACAUGUUUAUAUAGAGGAAGCACGUUUCUGUUGAUGGCGCCAAACUCAAGGAACUUAGCCGCCAAUUUUUUGGCAAGAAGAAUGAAGAAGAGUGGAUGGUAAUUUCAUCUCCCAAAAGUAAGGGUAUUAUUGUCAGCACAAGUAUUAUCAUCACGUGGGAAUAUAUCUCAUAUCAGCUACCAAACAUAGAUUCUGCUGAAUUCUUUCUCCAUUAGUCCGGGUUUAAUUUUGCUUGAAUCACACAUCAUCUUCCCGAUUUUAUUCGCGAUUCUCCGUGUCCACGUUUCCUGCUCGCUUCUGGGUCGCAGGGGAUUAGAAGCUGACAAAAAUAUUCUCUUGUCUCCUCGACGAACAGAUCAUGAAAUUCGAGACCUUCGCUGCCUUCGGAACUGUGCUCUCUUGCAAGAUCGCAGUCGAUCACAACGAGAACUCGAGGGGCUAUGGCUUCGUGCAGUUCGACAAGGAGGAAGCCGCG